rnacentral:rRNA from 1 species
CAGUCGCCGCGGUAAAACGGAGGGGGCUAGCGUUGUUCGGAAUUACUGGGCGUAAAGCGCACGUAGGCGGCUUGGUAAGUUAGAGGUGAAAGCCCGGAGCUCAACUCCGGAAUUGCCUUUAAGACUGCCGAGCUAGUAGGUGAGAGAGGUAAGUGGAAUUCCGAGUGUAGAGGUGAAAUUCGUAGAUAUUCGGAAGAACACCAGUGGCGAAGGCGGCUUACUGGCUCAUUCUAGACGCUGAGGUGCGAAAGCGUGGGGAGCAAACAGGAUUAGAUACCCCAGUAGUCCCUGUCUCUUAUAC